AUUUAACACCGUUAGAUUUUAAUAAAAGAGUGAAAGGGUAGGGGACAGGUCCCAAGGAAGGAAAAACCUGUCCUAGGUCCUAGUCAACGUUAAAAGUUGCGGUGAUUUUGCGGAUAGCCUCCAUUGUAAGAUUUAUUAGUAUUGUUAGAGUGCAGUUUUGCGACUGCUGCUGGUCCUUGCACGCCAUCCUUUGCAUAUUGCUGCCACAUCAUCUGUUCUUCAACCAAAAACCUCUGCUUCUUCUCCAUAUCUGACAUUUGAACGUAAGAGGGAGGAGCCACAGCCAAUGAAGCUGCAAAUGGAUCUGAAUUGGAAUCUCCAUGUCCUGAUGUUGGGGGUGCUGGCAAUGCUAGCAUUGAAGGCCUUCCAGCCGAACCAAGUGCCACACUACUAGAACUUCCACUCAUCCCAUACCCUGGUCCUUGCAUGACUCUAUUCACCUCUGCGUGUUUAUACAUGCCAUCCAACAAUAAUGUAUCAAAGCCACCACUAUAUGUAGGCUUUUGGUUGGACAAGUUGGAUGUUGAUUGCACAAGUGCUGUUUCCCAAUCUGCC
rnacentral:sRNA from 1 species